rnacentral:rRNA from 1 species
UACGGGGGGGCAAGCGUUGUUCGGAAUUAUCUGGGUCGGUAAAGGGCCAGUGAGGCGGCCAACUAAGUCCGACGAUGAAAUUCCCAAGGCUUAACCUUGGAAACUGCGUCGGAUACUGGAUGGCUUGAAUUCGGGAGAGGGAUGCAGAAGUUCCAGGUGUAGCGGUGAAAUGACUGUAGAUAUCUGGAGGAAUACCGGUGGACGAAGGCGGCAUCCUGGACCGACACUUGACGCUGAGGAGCGGAAAGCCAGGGGAA